rnacentral:rRNA from 1 species
UACGGGAGGCAGCAGUGGGGAAUUUUGGCCAAUGGGCGCAAGCCUGAUCCAGCAAUGCCGCGUGCAGGAUGAAGGCCUUCGGGUUGUAAACUGCUUUUGUACGGAACGAAACGGCGAGCUCUAAUACAGUUUGCUAAUGACGGUACCGUACGAAUAAGCACCGGCUAACUACGUGCCAGCAGCCGCGGUAAUACGUAGGGUGCGAGCG